rnacentral:lncRNA from 1 species
UUAGUUGUAGGGAAAAGAAGAUAAUAGAAAGGCAUAAAAGGAAUCCUAUAUUUAUGGAUUUUCUCUCUCCACAUGCAAGGUACAUGUCAAUUCCCCCAUCAAUUUAAAACGUCCAUAACUUUUUCAUGCGAUAUUUUUUAAAAAAAAAAAUUCACCAUAAUAACGAACGUUUUUUAUCUUUGAUACCAUAUUAUCAUAUAAAAAUAAAAUAAAAAAUUUUAUUUUUACUGGGUUUUUUCGCAUUGUGUUAAAGGUUCAGUUCAUUGUGUCUUUUAACUAGUUUUUGGUCAUUACGUUUUAGUAGAGUUUCUAUACAUUGUGUUAUUAUCAAAACCUAUAACACAAUGUUAAUUUGGGUUUCAUCCAUUGCGUUUUUAUAAGAACAUCUAACACAAUAUAUGACACAAUAAAGAUGGUUUUAUAUCUGGGUUUUCUAUAAAUUGUGUUAUUAGUUCAGGUCAUUGUGUUUAAUAUGUUUUCUAUUUUUGUUUUCUAUUGUGUUUUCACUGCUCUACAUUGUGUCUUUUAUCUGCUGUCAUUAAUUGUGUCUUUUAUCUGUUGUCAUCAAUUGUGUUUUUAUUUAGUCUGAUAUUUAUUGUGUUAUAUGUUAUCGCCAUUGUGUUAUACGUUAUGGUCAUUGUGUUUUAGUAUGUUGUCCAUCGUGUCUUUAUCUGUUUGUCAUUAAUGGUGUUUUUGAUCUACUUUACAUUGUGUUUUACAUCAUGUCCAUUGUGUAAUAUGUAACUGGGCUUUUGAUUUUUUUUUUUUUGAAAAAUAUAACAAUAUAGUACUCAUAUUAAAGAUAAAAAACGCUCGAUUUUAUGGUAUAAUUUUUUUAAAAACAAAUGAUGUAUAAAAAAGUUACGGAUGUUUAAAAAUUGGGGGGGGGGGGGGGGGAGGGAAAUAGCGUGUGACUUGCAUGUGCAUAUUUUCUUUCCUCUUGUAGACAAAAUUACCCUUUCCAUUUAAUUCCUCCUAGGACACUUGUCACUCUCUGGUGGCUUCUUACCCUUCUUAUUUUUAAAUCCUUUCCAUUAUAACUCAACCCAUUAAGAUUAUUAUUAUUGUUAAUUUAUAAUAAUAACUAGCCUAAGACGCCGCCAGUUUCGCGGGUGGCUUAACACACAAAUAUAUAACUUAAAAUUGUUGAAAUAAUCAUUUGAAAGAAAUAAACGUUCAAGUAAGGAAAUCCAUCUCUCUACCUGCGGGUACGUAAUGUAUCAAACGAAGUUAGAUUCAAUCAAACUUUAAAAAAUCAAACUAAAAAUAAGGUAAGGCAUCUAAAGUUUGUUGAGUUUCGAAUCAAACCAUAUACCAAGUAAGAUGACAGAUGUUGAAAUAAGCGAUUACGGGUUCUAUAGCCCAAGGUUAAAACUAUGUCAUUAAAUAAAUAAAAAGACAUGUUUUCAAAAGGCAAAAAUCCAUUAACGAUUUUCGAUUAUUAUAAAUCUAUUAAAGAUUUAUCUAUUGACAAAAUAAGUAACUGAUCUACACAAACGGAUAUCAAAAGAAUUAAUUAAUUGUGGAUUAUCUGUUUUGUUCUCCAAUUCCCUAGCUACCCUUCACCUUAUUUCACAUUUUGAUCCGACCUUGCAAUACCUAUCACAAUAAAAAGUACGACAUUUACAACAUAUCUUCUCAAAAUAUUAACAAUUGCUUUGGACCUGGAACAAACACCAGUUGUGAUGAAAAUGAUUGCAGUCAUCUAUCCAAUUAUAUAGGUGAGGGAAAAAUUAACAUGCAUAAACAAACCUGGCCAUCUCUAUUAAUUUAUAGCAAAAAAAAAAAAACAGAUUUAUCCUGUAAAAACUUUAAGUCUAGAUGUAUGCUCUGGAAGUUGGAACUUAGAAAGCAAACAAAACAUUUUUUUUUUGAAUAAAAUUAUAGCCACUAUACUAGUAAUUGGUUAAACUGACCAAAUCGCUGAACACCUUGUAGCAAGAGAAAAAUGUUCAUUAGUUGAGUUUACAACCUACACGGUCUACAAAUACAUACAAAGACAAAUUUAUUGAUAUAUGGAGUGUACCAUGAAUAAUAGAUGAUAUAACUUGUAAAUUAUAGUGUUUGUAUUUAGAACAGGUUUCUAGUCUCUUUGAUCCAUGAUGAAGUUGGGUUCACUUGUGCAUUUAAAGUGACAAUUAACCAAAAUAGUUUCACCAUUAGAUGUUAAAAUGACACAAUAUGAGAUGUAGUCUAAGUCAACAGAUUGAUCUAAAAUGAUCUCAACAUUAACUGGAUAAACUAUGAAGAAGACU